rnacentral:rRNA from 1 species
GUGACGCCAGUCGCAUUGCCGAGUAGCUAUGUGUGGAAAGGAUAACCGCUGAAAGCAUCUAAGCGGGAAGCCCCUCCCAAGAUUAGGUCUCCCUGAUAUUUUAAAUAUCCUAAAGAUCCCUCGAAGACUACGAGGUUGAUAGGCAUGGUGUGGAAGUACAGCAAUGUAUGAAGCUAACAUGUACUAAUUGAUCGUGAGGCUUGACCAUAUAACACCCAA